rnacentral:snoRNA from 1 species
CUAGCACGUGAUGACAAGCAAGACAGGGAAUCUGCAGCGCUCCCGGCUUCAAGUCGGGUGGCGUGAAUGAUGCAUCUGUCUAGGGGAAUCUCUGAUGCUAA